GGAGCGACAACAGUAUGAAGGUCAGGCUGACGGUCUUACUCGACUCGUUGAGAGGUGGUGCAUGGCCGCCGUCAGUUCGUGCCGUAAGGUGUUCUGUUAAGUCAGAUAACGAACGAGACCCAUGCCAUUAGUUGCUAUCUGUUCCUUCGGGGGCAGAGCACUCUAAUGGGACCGCUGCUGCUAAAGCAGAGGAAGGUGUGGGCAACGGUAGGUCAGUAUGCCCCGAAUCUCCCGGGCUACACGCGGACUACAAUGGUUGAAACAAUGGGCUGCUACGCCGAGAGGCGACGCUAAUCUCUAAAUUCAAUCCAAGUUCGGAUCGAGGGCUGUAACCCGCCCUCGUGAAGCCGGAAUCCCCAGUAAUCGGACGUCACUAUCGUCCGGUGAAUAUGUCCCUGCUCCUUGCACACACCGCCCGUCAAAUCACCCGAGUUAGGUCUGGAUGAGGCCUCAGUUUUUGCUGAGGUCGAAUAUGGGCUUAGCAAGGGGGUUAAGUCGUAACAAGGUAUCCGUAGGGGAACCUGCGGAUAGAUCA
rnacentral:rRNA from 1 species